rnacentral:rRNA from 1 species
UGGGGAAUUUUGGACAAUGGGCGCAAGCCUGAUCCAGCAAUGCCGCGUGCAGGAUGAAGGCCUUCGGGUUGUAAACUGCUUUUGUACGGAACGAAAAGCCCUGGGUUAAUACCCUGGGGUCAUGACGGUACCGUAAGAAUAAGCACCGGCUAACUACGUGCCAGCAGCCGCGGUAAUACGUAGGGUGCGAGCGUUAAUCGGAAUUACUGGGCGUAAAGCGUGCGCAGGCGGUUUUGUAAGACAGAGGUGAAAUCCCCGGGCUCAACCUGGGAACUGCCUUUGUGACUGCAAGGCUAGAGUACGGCAGAGGGGGAUGGAAUUCCGCGUGUAGCAGUGAAAUGCGUAGAUAUGCGGAGGAACACCGAUGGCGAAGGCAAUCCCCUGGGCCUGUACUGACGCUCAUGCACGAAAGCGUGGGGAGCAAACAGGAUUAGAUACCCUGGUAGUCCACGCCCUAAACGAUGUCAACUGGUUGUUGGGUCUUAACUGACUCAGUAACGAAGCUAACGCGUGAAGUUGACCGCCUGGGGAGUACGGCCGCAAGGUUGAAACUUAAAUGAAUUGACGGGGUCAUAGCUGUUUCCU